GGAAGCUAUUCUAAUUAAAAAGUUGAAAUGAACAACAGAAGCACUCGAAAUUAAUUCAGUUCAAGAGUCGUCAUAAAUGCAACUGAAGCAGCUCAAAUCGCAAUUAUUUGUUUAAACAAAAACAUAAAAGAACGGCAAUUUUCAGCAAGCCGAACAAUAAAAACCCUUUGCUUGCGGCUUGGCAGAUGUGUGAGGGGAAUAAGAAAGCUUGUGUUGGGUGAAAAUAUCUUGAAGAAGACAAAAUUGUAUACAACUUCUAUAGUAUGCAAGCACUCUCAGUUUGUGGCAUGCCACGCCAAAUGGAUUAAAUCAAAAUCUGUUGACUGUUCGGUGCCGCAAUGCAGCGCAGGCGAUGACUUUGCAACUCAUCCGCCUCGUGGUGCUUAGACGCAUAAAUCAAUUGAAGAAUCAAUGAAGUGCAGGCGCACUGUUUGAACAAGGCUCCCAGCAAGAAGGCAGCCAAACAGGACCCCGUCAACGAGCCUGCAAAUGGAUGUCCCAAUGUACCGAUGCGGCCCAACUGAUUCAUGUGUCUCGGCUGGCUGAUAAACUGGUGGCACAAAAAGAGGGACAGUCAUUAGCAUUGCUGCAUUUGUCUGUGAAACGGAAACGGAAAUCGCGCUGCAUUCAAAUUGACAGACAGCAACAAACUGCACAACAAGUUGCCAACACAAUAAGAAAGCGUAGAUGCGUACAAGAAUCAACAACUGAUUUGACAAAUCAACUGGGCGCAGUUGAUUGCCAUG
rnacentral:sRNA from 1 species